GAUUGAAGAUGGUGAAGAGGGUAGCCCUGUAAAUUUGGGUUUGGAGGUGGUCGGGGGAAAUACCCAGGCUAAGAAUGUGAAACUGCCGAAUCUGACGAUUAAGGAAAAGAAAGAGCUGGCUUCUUAUGCACAUUGAAGUGCCAACUGGUGGGGAAAUCUGGUGUUACUGAUAAUGUCAUCUCCUCUUUUCUUGAGACCCUUGAAGCCAAUGAACUUCUAAAGAUCAAAAUUCACCGGAUUUGUUCCGGAGAGCUACAGGUUGUGGUCCAACUGGAGCAAGCAACCGGUUCAGUCGUCGUCGGUCGAAUUGGUCGGACUGUGAUCAUAUACAGGCGUAGUCUCACCAAAAUGAAGGCUGAAUAGAAAAAGAAAGAGUUUCAAAGAGCUUUUAUGAGAAGGCAAUCAAAGCCAAAACCUGCAUUCAUGAAGAAAGGACCUUUGUGCGGACGUGGUAGAAGGGGAAUCAGCAGGGUUUUAAAUACCAAUUCUCAGUAAUGGUAGUUUCUAGCUUCCAAGAAUUUGUAGAUUUGAUAUGCAAUUUGAGUUCUUAGUUGAAAUAGUUUCUAACAUUCAAAUUGGUCAUAAAAAUGAGCAUA